CCCCUUUCAGGGUUGUACCUGGAGAGUAUCCAGUCCUCUACCAGUCUCGCCCGGGGAAGGAAGAGUCAAGCAGAAGCCUACCCAUUCCAUUCCUAGCUUGGGCAGUGGUUAGUGAGUGGAAGGCAAUCUGCUACAAGU